rnacentral:lncRNA from 1 species
GUCAAAAAAUAUUUUGAAUUCGGAUCAAACAAUAUAGUAUGCUUCUGGGCUAGUUCAAUUAGUAGGAAUAAGUGUGUUUUUCACGGAGGCGGAUCAAUCAAUUGGGCUUUAGCAAAAAAAAAAAUUGUUGUUUCUCUUUAAUACUCUAACAAUGGUACAUCUGUGUCACAAACAAAAUGAUUCGUAUUCAGCAUAUAAUUGUCUCUGAGGGGAAGUGAUCCGCAUGAUCUGCAUAUAUUAAAUCUAAUAUUAACUGAAAAAAAUAUUAAGUGAAAAUAUUUUGAAUUUCUGAAUUUAUAACAUAUGCUGGCCUAUUCUUG